AUACGUAGGUGGCGAGCGUUGUCCGGAAUUACUGGGCGUAAAGGAUGCGUAGGUGGAUACUUAAGUGGGAUGUGAAAUCCCCGGGCUCAACCCGGGAACUGCAUUCCAAACUGGGUAUCUAGAGUGCAGGAGAGGAAAGCGGAAUUCCUAGUGUAGCGGUGAAAUGCGUAGAUAUUAGGAGGAACACCAGUGGCGAAGGCGGCUUUCUGGACUGUAACUGACACUGAGGCAUGAAAGCGUGGGUAGCAAACAGGAUUAGAUACCCUGGUAGUCCACGCCGUAAACGAUGGGUACUAGGUGUAGGAGGUAUCGACCCCUUCUGUGCCGUCGUUAACACAAUAAGUACCUCGCCUGGGGAGUACGGUCGCAAGACUAAAACUCAAAGGAAUUGACGGGG
rnacentral:rRNA from 1 species